UGACUGUUAAUCUGUUAUAUAGAUUCUCUAUAACUGCUUUACUGUUAUAUAUUUUGUCUGCUUUGGCUUUUAUUUCUCUUAAUAACUAACAGAGUAACAUGUGCCUUUUUGUAUACAGAUCUUUGAUAUGCUUUUGGUUACUUCCUUAAGAUAGGUAUCUUUUAAGUAGAUUUAUAGGUGUUUAGUUCAAGACAUGCCCAUCGAUUACUGUUAUCCAGUUGUUUUCCAAAGGAUUAUAAAACAAUAGUGUAAUAUACUUAACAUCUUGUGUCUUAAUGCCCUACUUGAACAAUGGGGAUAUUAAUGCUGUAGUACUUUCUUCAGGGGGUAGCAUAAGUAGCAUGUGAGUUAAUAUGUGUAAAGCACUUAGAAUAGUUUUGACACAAGGCAAGUACUCAAUAAAUACUAACUAUUGUUCUUAUUUUUCACUACACCUUCUAUGGUUAUUUUUAAAGUUUUUAAUAUAAAAUAUUUACAAUAAAAUUAUUCUUGUGACUGUUAGAUGCUUUGUGUGUGUGUGGUAUUAGGGAUUGUGUCCAGGGCAUCGCACAUGCUAAGCAAGUGCUCUACCACUGAAUAACACCCAUAGCCCUUGAUUUUUUUUUAAACUAAAUAAAAUUUUUUAAAGCUUAGAAUCUCCCUCCUCCCUAACUUCCUUCCAACAUACAUCUUGCCCAAAGGAAAUAACUUAGGAAUGCCAUGAUUAUCAUUUAGAUUUUAAUAAUUUGUCUACACAUUUAUACAUUCAUAAUGCAUAGAAUUGUUUUGUUGGAUUUAAAAUUUAGUGUGAUUUUUGGUGCUAUU
rnacentral:lncRNA from 1 species